AUGGCAACCCACUCCAGUAUUCUUACCUGGAGAAUCCCCAUGAAAAAACCUGGGGGGAUACAGUCCAUAGGGUCAUUUACAUCUACUUAUAUCUUACAUUUACUGCCUUUCAUUUCAGGGAGCAUGGAUAUUAAAAAUGCAACACUGCUGUCAAUGUUUGUUCUCACUGGACUUCCCUAUCAACUUGAGUGGCAAAUCCCCUUAUUCUUGUUGUUCUUGGUGAUAUACCUCAUCACCACUGUGGGAAACCUUGGACUAAUUUAUCUUAUCUACAAUGACCCUCACCUUCACAUCCCCAUGUACUUAUUCCUUGGGAGUUUAGCCUUUGUGGAUUCUUGGAUAUCAUCCACAGUGACCCCCAAGAUGCUAGUCAAUUUUUUUGCCAGGAGUAAAAUGAUAUCUCUCUCUGAAUGCAUGUUACAAUUUCUUUCCUUUGCAUUUGGUGGAACCACGGAAUGCUUUUUACUUGCAACAAUGGCAUAUGAUCGCUAUGUGGCCAUAUGCAAACCAUUACUGUAUCCAGUGAUCAUGACCAACAAACUAUGCAUCCAGCUGUUAGUCUCAUCAUUUGUAGCAGGGCUUAUUCAUCCCAUGAUUCAUGUAGGUGCUUUAUUCAGGUUAACCUUCUGUAAGUCUAACAUAAUACAUCACUUUUACUGUGACAUCAUGCCAUUGUUGAGGAUUUCUUGUAUUGACCCUUCAAUUAAUGUUCUAAUGGUAUUUAUUUCCUCUGGGUCAAUACAGGUGCUUAGCAUUAUGACUGUUCUUGUCUCUUAUACACUUGUUCUACUUACGAUUUUGAAAAAUAAGUCUGUACAAGGCAUAAGAAAGGCCUUCUCCACCUGUGGAGCCCACCUCCUAUCUGUCUCUUUAUACUAUGGGCCUCUUCUCUUCAUGUAUGUGCGCCCUGGAUCCACACAGGCAGAUGAUCAAGAUAUGAUGGAUUCCCUAUUUUACACUGUCAUAAUUCCCUUGUUAAAUCCAAUCAUCUACAGCCUGAGAAAUAAGAAAGUCAUAGAUUCGCUGACAAAAGUUUUAAAGAGAAAUGUUUAG
rnacentral:lncRNA from 1 species